UACGUAGGGUCCGAGCGUUUGUCCGGAAUUAUUGGGCGUAAAGGGCUCGUAGGCGGUUGGUCACGUCGGGAGUGAAAACUCAGGGCUCAACCCUGAGCGUGCUUCCGAUACGGGCCGACUAGAGGUAUGCAGGGGAGAACGGAAUUCCUGGUGUAGCGGUGGAAUGCGCAGAUAUCAGGAGGAACACCGGUGGCGAAGGCGGUUCUCUGGGCAUUACCUGACGCUGAGGAGCGAAAGCAUGGGGAGCGAACAGG
rnacentral:rRNA from 1 species